rnacentral:lncRNA from 1 species
AGUGAAGGAGGCCCAUGGCAUGAGGGUUAUCUCACAGCCCCAGAUGCUGGAUAAGUUGAAGGAGGCAAAAUCGCUUUUGGAUGACAUUCAGAAAGACCUGAAUGAUUAUUUGGAGAAGAAAAGACUAUUCUUUCUAAGGUAAACAGUCCAUUUCAUCUGUU